rnacentral:tRNA from 1 species
CCUCUCGUAGUUUAGUGGUCAGAACAGAAGGUGUGUAAAGCCAAAGGUCCCUGGUUCGAUUCCCGGCGGGGGUG